rnacentral:rRNA from 1 species
UACGGGGGGGAGCAAGCGUUGUUCGGAAUUACUGGGCGUAAAGGGCGCGUAGGCGGCCUGCUAAGUCGAACGUGAAAUCCCCGGGCUCAACCCGGGAACUGCGUCCGAUACUGGAAGGCUUGAAUCCGGGAGAGGGAUGCGGAAUUCCAGGUGUAGCGGUGAAAUGCGUAGAUAUCUGGAGGAACACCGGUGGCGAAGGCGCAUCCUGGACCGGCAUUGACGCUGAGGCGCGAAAGCCAGGGGAGCAAAGCGGG